GAUGAACGCUGGCGGCGUGCUUAACACAUGCAGGUCGAACGAUGAAGCCCAGCUUGCUGGGUGGAUUAGUGGCGAACGGGUGAGUAACACGUGAGUAACCUGCCCUUAACUCUGGGAUAAGCCUGGGAAACUGGGUCUAAUACCGGAUAGGAGCGCCUACCGCAUGGUGGGUGUUGGAAAGAUUUAUCGGUUUUGGAUGGACUCGCGGCCUAUCAGCUUGUUGGUGAGGUAAUGGCUCACCAAGGCGACGACGGGUAGCCGGCCUGAGAGGGUGACCGGCCACACUGGGACUGAGACACGGCCCAGACUCCUACGGGAGGCAGCAGUGGGGAAUAUUGCACAAUGGGCGAAAGCCUGAUGCAGCGACGCCGCGUGAGGGAUGACGGCCUUCGGGUUGUAAACCUCUUUCAGUAGGGAAGAAGCGAAAGUGACGGUACCUGCAGAAGAAGCACCGGCUAACUACGUG
rnacentral:rRNA from 1 species